GUAUAGCUCAGUUGUAGAGCAUUUGCCUAGCAUGCAUUAAAGCUCUGGGUUUAAUCCCCAGUAC
rnacentral:tRNA from 1 species